rnacentral:tRNA from 1 species
GCCCCCGUAGCUAAGUGGAAAAGCGUCGGAUUACGAAUCCGUCAAAUCGGGAGUUCGACUCUCCCCGGGGGCUCCA